rnacentral:rRNA from 1 species
UUGACCUCGGAUCAGGUAGGGUUACCCGCUGAACUUAAGCAUAUCAAUAAGCGGAGGAAAAGAAACAACAGGGAUUGCCUCAGUAACGGCGAGUGAAGCGGCAACAGCUCAAAUUUGAAAUCUGGCGCCCUUGGGUGUCCGAGUUGUAAUUUGCAGAGGAUGCUUUGGGCGAGGUGCCUUCCGAGUUUCCUGGAACGGAACGCCAUAGAGGGUGAGAGCCCCGUACGGUGUGGCACCGAGCCUCUGUAAAGCUCCCUCGACGAGUCGAGUAGUUUGGGAAUGCUGCUCUAAAUGGGAGGUAAACUCCUUCUAAAGCUAAAUAUCUGCCAGAGACCGAUAGCGCACAAGUAGAGUGAUCGAAAGAUGAAAAGCACUUUGAAAAGAGAGUUAAACAGCACGUGAAAUUGUUGAAAGGGAAGCGCUCGUGACCAGACUUGGUGCGGCGGUUCAGCAGUCCUUCUGGGCUGUGCACUCCGCCGUCCCAGGCCAGCAUCAGCUGCCGGUUGGGGAGAAAGGCGGUGGGAAUGUGGCCCUUCGGGGUGUUAUAGCCCGCCGUCAUGCCCUUCCGGCGGUUGAGGAUAGCGUCUUGCACGGAUGCUGGCGUAAUGGUCCCUAGCGACCCGUCUUGAAACACGGACCAAGGAGUCGUUCUGCUGUGCGAGUGUUUGGGUGUCAAGCCCCAGCGCGAAAUGAAAGUGAACGGAGGUGGGAGCCUCGGCGCACCAUCGACCGAUCCUGAAGUUUACUGAUGGAUUUGAGUAAGAGCACAGCGGACCGGACCCGAAAGAAGGCGAACUAUGCUUGGAUAGGGCAAAGCCAGAGGAAACUCUGGUGGAGGCUCGCAGCGGUUCUGACGUGCAAAUCGAUCGUCAAAUCUGAGCAUGGGGGCGAAAGACUAAUCGAGCCUUCUAGUAGCUGGUUUCCGCCGAGGUUUCCCUCAGGAUAGCAGUGCUGAUUCUCAGUUUUAUGAGGUAAAGCGAAUGAUUAGGGACUCGGGGGCGCUAUUUAGCCUUCAUCCAUUCUCAAACUUUAAAUAUGUAAGGAGCCUCCGGUGCUUGGGUGACCGGAAGCAUUAGAAUGUACAGCACUAGUGGGCCAUUUUUGGUAAGCAGAACUGGCGAUGCGGGAUGAACCGAUCGCGGGGUUAAGGUGCCGGAGUGGUCGCUCAUCAGACACCACAAAAGGUGUUAUCACAUCUUGACAGCAGGACGGUGGCCAUGGAAGUCGGAAUCCGCUAAGGACUGUGUAACAACUCACCUGCCGAAUGUGAUAGCCCUGAA